GACGAACGCUGGCGGCGUGCCUAACGCAUGCAAGUCGAACGGGACCGUCGUGUCUAUUUGCGCACGUGUGCUUAACGCGUGGGAACUUACCCUUAGGUUCGGAGUCACUGCCCUUAAGGUGUGUUAAUACCGCAUAAUGUCUUCGGACCAAAGAGUUAUCGCCUUUUGGUGGGGCCGGGUUGGAUUAGCUAGUUGGUAGUGUAAAAGCAUACCAAGGCGACGAUGCAUAGCUGGUCUGAGAGGAUGAUAAGCCACACUGGAACUGAGACACGGCCCAGACGCCUACGCGACGCAGCAGUGGGGAACACUAGACACUGGGCGAGAGUGUAAUAAAGCAAUGUCGCGUGAGUGAUCAAGGGGUUAGGGUUGUAAAGCUCCUUUACACGAGAUGAGAAUGACAGUAACGGGAGAAUAAGCACCGGCUAACUACGUG
rnacentral:rRNA from 1 species